CGCUUUGUUAACUUUGUUUUAAGGUAGUUCCGUAUGUACACGUAUCAGCCAAAAGUUUCGACCGCAGUGUACAGUAAGAUCUCAUACGUACGUGGCGCUGCCUGUCUCGAACUUUUGGCGAUGCUGUACACUGUUCAUGUCCUACACAAUCACACCUUAUGCAUGGAUAGGGCCCGUACACAUAUAGAGAGCGCCUCUGUAAACUUGGCAACAUCGCAAUUUUUCAGUAUAUAGUAG